AUGCAUUUUAAUUUUAAUUAAUGUGAUGAAAGAGAGUUACUAAUCACAAAAUAUUAAAAUGAAAAAUGAUUGUUUAAAAAAAGAGGUAUUUUAUUAUACUAUUGAGAAGAAUCCUUAAAUGAAAAAUGAAAAAAAUAAUAUUAAUCUUUUAUUAGUUGUAUUUCAGUAUGAAGGUAGUUUUUUCAUAUAAACUCAUACAGACAAAAGAGAAAAAAGAAAGUAAGACUACGAUUAAAUAUUAAAUUUAAUUAGAAAAGAACGUUUAACCGUUAAACCUCAUUUCAAACCGAGCUUACAUCACGAAGAAAGAUAUUUUUUCAAUGGAAUUACUAUUUUAAUACUGUAUUAUUGUUUCCGUAUUUUCACCAAUCUCACACUGAUUGUUUUGAAUGUCGCAAAUGGUAAUGAAUUUAAGAAGGUUUAUUCCACUUUUCCAUAAAAUAAGGAAUCAUUAUUUCGCUCAGAGAAAGAAGGAAAAAAUAUCGACGAGUCAAACCGAUGAAAAAAAAACUUACGUAUAUUUGAAAUUGUUACAUUAAAAAAAAUUGUAAAAUGCAAUUCCUGAACUUAUCCUUCCGAAUUGUUAGUGUGAUUUUUCCAAAUACUUCUACAGAUGAUAAUAAUUGAUUAUCUUGGUUAUAUUCAAUGUCGGCUAAAAGUUUAAUUCUUUUUUAUUUAAAAAUUAGAUUGUAUAUCGCAUAAAUUUGCAUUGCUAGCUCUAAAAAAAAAUAAAUCUAGUUUGAACAGGUGUAAAAAUAGUUGAAGCCUAUGUGCGUAUAUAGAUAUAUAUGAGUACAACAUUUGAAUUUUCAGUUUGCUUUAUGAUACCUAAUAUGAUAUAUAUCAUGGUAUUUUACGAGUAUUAUUAUGAAAAUACUUUACUACAAGCUUAAAAGAAACUUGAAUUUUAAUUUGCGUUUAACGUUGCAAAAUCAAGCGUUCAAUAGAAGAUAGAGGAGUAUUUCUCAUUUCCUCACAAACCUUGUCCAGUGGCUGCGCCGUAUAAAUACAUACAAUAUAUGAUCUUUGCAUUGCUUGUUAUUAUCUGUUGAACCAUUUCGCAUAACCAUUAUUGGGAAUAGUGUAUGCGACGCAAUUGAAUAGAAGAAAAUGCUUUUUUGUUCGUAAUGCUAUCGUAACAGCGAUUAUGUAAUCAAAUUCGAUAUAUGAAUUGACUCCUGAUAAAAGCCUAUUAAAUUUAUUAUUUAUAUUAUUGUCGUAGACAAUUUCGUUAUUGAUUUCAACCGAUUUUCAGAUUCGCUGUUUAUCGAAAAUUAAAAUAUUGAAAGCAUUUAGUGUUUGAUAUCGAUAUCAAUAAACUUGAUAGGACGUUCUCGUUACGAACGAUAAUCAUUAUACGAAAACUAUCGUCAAACAUUUCGCAUUACGCGUAAAUAUUAUUAUGUGGGCAUACGGUAUCAAAGCGAGCCGCGAAAAUAGAUCAAAAGAUAGUAAAAACAUAAAUACUUGCGCGUAUACAAAAAGAAAUUUUCACAAUGUUUAUAUUUCAUCACGACAUUACCUUUCAAAACGAAUUCAACAACCGUCAAUCUUUUCUAUUUCCUUUACAAAGAAAUUAAUCCGAUCAGUACGUGGUGCACAAUCUGGCUACAUAGUGUAGUAUAUUUAUGUAUUGCAUAUGUACAUAUAUACAUACUCACAUAAAAUUUACGGUUUUAUGAUUUUACGCAACGGAUUAAACAUAAUAUGAUUGCAUACUAUAAAGCAAAAAAAAAUACAUAAUUAUUAAAAAUAAAAAAAAAUAUUUGGAAAUUUGAAUGGAUUCAUAUCAAAUGGACGAAGGAACUCCUUAAUUGCCAAGAUAACUAUCCUGACGAAUAGCAGCACAUUUGUUUGUCUGAAGUAAUGAAUGUAGGUCAGACCGUUCGUUUGGUAUAGCUUUACUAAUUUACAUCAUUCGUUCUAUCAUAGGAAAUAGCAAUUGAAAAAAUCACGUAGUCACUCACGCAUUGCUGGUAUCAGCGCCAAUGGAAAGAGAGUAUGAGCCGGGACAUAGAGAGAAGCUGUAUCGAUUAGAGAGUUUGCCGGGGAUCCAACGAUAACUACCACCGACCCUACCGGGGAAUUCACAGGUUAACAUUGUGCAUGCCAUCGACGAAACAUAGUAGAAUGUCGAAGGAGGACAAUAAGGUUCAAGAUUUGCAUCGUAAGCGCGUAUCGGGAACGAUUGUAAGAGUGGCUGAGUACUUCUAACGAAGAUCCCGCCGGUUGGAAACGAUAAGGUUCCAUGGAGGCUCGUCGCUUUUAAUGAGCACUCGAAACUACGACGAAAGAGGUUUGUCCGCUUGACGUCGCGUUAUUUUAAAGUACAUUUUUACGAUGACUGAAGAAAAGAUGUACAAUAUAGGCCUUACACGAUCGAAACACGAAAAUGUUUUAACUUUCAAAUUAAAUGUCCAAGUAUAUCGAGUACGUCAAAGUGGUGUUUGUUUGUUGAAUUUUCUUUUCCAUAUGUCUUCUGUCAUUCAUGUGUUUUUAUAACUAGAUUACUCGUGGUUCUCGAUUUAUGUAACUAUUAAAAUUUGUACUAAUACUACUAAUUGUACAAAUUCUUAUAUUUUUUAUGUAUAUAAGGGUUACCAUAAUAGAACAAUUCUCUGGUGAUCGACGUUUUUUUGUCAAACGCCUUAUGUUUUAUAUUUAUCUUUGUUGUAUGUAAUAGUCUAUAUUAUUAUAUUUUAUUUUUUACAAUUAAUGUCUCCAACAUAUGAAUAUCAUUAUAUCUUACAAAAUGAUAUUUCCUCUUGUAAAAUAGAAAUAGAGGAAAUAAUAUUAUUAGUCUAAGAUGUAAGUGUAAUAAAUACUAAUAUAUAUCAAGUUACUAAUAUAUA